AAUAAGGGAAUUUUUCGGAAUUUUUGGACAUUUUUCGGGAAUUUUUCGGAGCUCGAACGGACGAGUUAACGGGGAUAAAAACGGGACCGGAAAAAAAAGCCUGUUUGUGCUACCCAUUUAAGUAAGGAAAAGUUUAUUUUAUUUUUCUUUUCCUAAUUCUUUUUCUUUUUCUUAUUUUUAUUUUUCGUUUUUCCCGUGUCCUCACCCAAAUCUCGCCGAGUCCUCUUCUUCCCCGCGCCUUCUCCCCCUCACGGCGAAUUUGCCCUAACCGCAACCGCAAGGAGGCGGUUUCCUCACUUCCUUGCCGUGCCCUAGCCGUGCGCCGCCGACGCCUCCUUCUCACUGCCUCGCCUCCGACAGUCGUUCGUCCCCUCGGCACUUCUUUUUCUCUUCUUCUCCACAGCAGCGACGUCGACUCCACAGCAUAAGCCCCGGCGUCGCGUGAGCCACUGCCGACCCACUCUUCUCCGAGCCGAUCCAUCUUCGCCAGCCGACGAGAGCCAAGGGAAGCCGGUUGCUUCUUCUCCGACGCGACAUUGCUACUGCCCGACACUGCCGGCCCUCCUUUAUGCCCUAGCCUCAGCGCCGACCACCACAGUGCCAUGGCCUUUUUCCCUCUUCCCAUCUUCGCCAGUGCGUCUCUGCUUGGAUUACAUCCGGCCAAGAACAACGAAUCAAACCCUGGUUCUUCCUUGGCGUGCCACUUCCGAAUGCGAGUUUGUUUCUCCACAGCGAACCCCUCUGCCCUACCUCUGCCUUAGCACUAGCUGCACCUCCGAUACAGAGUAGCAGUUGCCCUAUUUCUGCAGCUCUCAAUUCAGCAGUAAACGAUCGGCAACAAUCAACGGUUGUGAUUUGAGGACUUUGACGCGAGACGAGUAGCUCGAUGUCAGAUUUGGACAUUCCUAUUGGAGG